rnacentral:tRNA from 1 species
GGUCAUGUAGCCUAGCAGUUAAGGCAGCCCAUGUGGGAUGGGUCCGGAUCCAUUGGAUCUGGUUGCUGGUUCAAAUCCAGCCCCAACCA